rnacentral:rRNA from 1 species
GAUGAACGCUAGCUACAGGCUUAACACAUGCAAGUCGAGGGGUAACGAGAGGGAAGCUUGCUUUCCUUGUCGACGACCGGCGCACGGGUGAGUAACGCGUAUCCAACCUGCCCCCAACUAGGGAAUAACCUUGCGAAAGUAAGACUAAUACCCUAUAAUUUCCUCAGAUGUCAUCUGACGAGGAAUAAAGAUUUAUCGGUUGUGGAUGGGGAUGCGUCUGAUUAGCUUGUUGGCGGGGUAACGGCCCACCAAGGCAACGAUCAGUAGGGGUUCUGCGAGGAAGGUCCCCCAAAUUGGAACUGAGACAAGGUCCAAACGCCUACGGGAGGCAGCAGUGAGGAAUAUUGGUCAAUGGGCGGAAGCCUGAACCAGCCAAGUAGCGUGCAGGAUGACGGCCCUAUGGGUUGUAAACUGCUUUUAUACAGGAAUAAAGUUAGCCACGUGUGGUUAUUUGUAGGUACUGUAUGAAUAAGGACCGGCUAAUUCCGUGCCAGCCGCCGCCGUAA